GCCAGCAGCCAUACCGCCUGCAGUUCAGACCUGACAGUCCUUGUGAAACUAAGCAGGUUUGGGCCUGUCUGGUACUUGGAUAAGAGACAAAGUAGGAAACUUGGGUUGUUGCUGAAA
rnacentral:rRNA from 1 species